UACGUAGGGGGCCAGCGUUGUCCGGAAUCAUUGGGCGUAAAGCGCGCGUAGGCGGCCAGAUAAGUCCGGUGUGAAAGUCAAAGGCUCAACCUUUGAAUGCCGCUGGAAACUGUCUGGCUUGAGUCCGGAAGGGGCGAGUGGAAUUCCUGGUGUAGCGGUGAAAUGCGCAGAUAUCAGGAGGAACACCAAUGGCGAAGGCAGCUCGCUGGGACGACACUGACGCUGAGACGCGAAAGCGUGGGGAGCGAACAGG
rnacentral:rRNA from 1 species